rnacentral:rRNA from 1 species
AUUGAACGCUGGCGGCAUGCUUUACACAUGCAAGUCGAACGGUAACAGGUUAAGCUGACGAGUGGCGAACGGGUGAGUAAUGCAUCGGAACGUGCCCGAUCGUGGGGGAUAACGCAGUGAAAGCUGCGCUAAUACCGCAUACGAUCUGAGGAUGAAAGCGGGGGACCGUAGGGCCUCGCGCGAUCGGAGCGGCCGAUGUCAGAUUAGGUAGUUGGUGGGGUAAAGGCCCACCAAGCCGACGAUCUGUAGCUGGUCUGAGAGGACGACCAGCCGCACUGGGACUUAGACACGGCGCAGAGUCCUACGGGAGGAAGCAGUGGGGAAUUUUGGACAAUGGGCGAAAGCCUGAUCCAUCAAUGCCGCGUGCAGGAAGAAGGCCUUCGGGUUGUAAACUGCUUUUGUACGGAGCGAAAAGGUCCUUUCUAAUACAAGGGGCUCAUGACGGUACCGUAAGAAUAAGCACCGGCUAACUACGUCCCAGCAGCAGCCGCCG